CCUACGGGUGGCAGCAGUGAGGAAUAUUGGUCAAUGGGCGCGAGCCUGAACCAGCCAAGUAGCGUGAAGGAUGACUGCCCUACGGGUUGUAAACUUCUUUUGUAAAGGAAUAAAGUGAAGCACGUGUGCCUUUCUGUAUGUACUUUAUGAAUAAGGAUCGGCUAACUCCGUGCCAGCAGCCGCGGUAAUACGGAGGAUCCGAGCGUUAUCCGGAUUUAUUGGGUUUAAAGGGAGCGUAGGUGGGUUGUUAAGUCAGUUGUGAAAGGUUGCGGCUUAACCGUAAAAUUGCAACUGAUACUGGCAGUCUUGAGAAUAGUUGAGGUAGGCGGAAUGUGUGGUGUAGCGGUGAAAUGCUUAGAGAUCAUGAAGAACUCCGAUUGCGAAGGCAGCUUACUAAUCU
rnacentral:rRNA from 1 species